CCACCCACUCCUUCCAAACAGAUGAGCUAGACUGGCAGGGCAAAUGGGUAGCAAGAUUUUUGUAGUGAUACCAGGAGUCGUGCAGACAGAUAAACUCAUCUUCGGACGUGGGACUCAACUCAUCGUGGGAGCAAAAUUUCAGUCUCCUUCCAAACCAUCGGUUUUUGUCAUGAGAAACGGAACAAAUGUCGCUUGUUUGGUGAAGGAUUUCUACCCCAAGGAUGUAAACAUAAGCCUCCAACCACCCAAGCAGAUAACAGAAUUUGACCCUGCUAUCGUCGUCUCUCCCAGCGGGAAGUACAGUGCUAUCAAGCUGGGUCGGUAUGAAGAUUCAAGUCCAGUGACAUGUUCAGUUCAACACAACAAGGAAAUUGUUCACUCCACUGAAUUUGAACUGAAUACAAAUUCUUCAGAUAAUCCAAAACCCACAGAAGCUGUAAGCCCGGGGCAAACUUCAAAGAACAACCGUGAACCAAGAGUUUACCCCGAGAAGGUGAACAUGAUAUCCCUCACGUUGCUGGGGCUACGACUACUGUUUGCCAAGAGCAUCGCUGUCAAUUUUCUCUUGACUGCCAAGUUAUUUUUCUCCUAAGGUAAGAA